UACGAGGGGGGCAAGCGUUGUUCGGAAUCACUGGGCGUAAAGCGCGUGUAGGCGGCCCACUAAGUCUGAUGUGAAAGCCCGGGGCUCACCCCCGGAAGUGCAUUGGAAACUGGUGGACUCGAGUCCCGGAGAGGAGGGUGGAAUUCCUGGUGUAGCGGUGAAAUGCGUAGAUAUCAGGAGGAACACCGGUGGCGAAGGCGGCCCUCUGGACGGUGACUGACGCUGAGACGCGAAAGCGUGGGGAGCAAACAGG
rnacentral:rRNA from 1 species